rnacentral:rRNA from 1 species
AGAACGAACGCUGGCGGCGUGCUUAACACAUGCAAGUCGAACGCGAAAGGGACUUCGGUCCUGAGUAAAGUGGCGCACGGGUGAGUAACGCGUAGAUAACCUGUCUUCAUGUCUGGAAUAAUACGCCGAAAGGGGUACUAAUACCGGAUAUUCUUGCUUUUCAUAAGUUAUGCAAGCAAAGGUGGCCUCUGCAUAUGCUACUGCAUGAAGAGGGGUCUGCGUACCAUUAGCUAGUAGGUGGGGUAAUGGCCUACCUAGGCGACGAUGGUUAGCGGGUCUGAGAGGAUGAUCCGCCACACUGGCACUGGAACACGGGCCAGACUCCUACGGGAGGCAGCAGUGAGGAAUAUUGCGCAAUGGGGGAAACCCUGACGCAGCGACGCCGCGUGAAGUGAGGAAGGCCUUCGGGUCGUAAAGCUCUGUCAAGAGGAAAGAAGUGUACAAUGGCUAAUACCUGUUGUAUUUGACGGUACCUCUAAAGGAAGCACCGGCUAACUCCGUGCCAGCCGCAGC